GACAUACUAUUUAAUUAAUUUUUGAUCUAGGAAAGUUAUGCUUCAUUAACCUUUAUCAUUGGAAGAAUUAACAACGUAUUUAUGUUCCAUUUUUUUUGCAUUUUUGAGCAAGUGUCUAACUACAGAUUUGUGUUGUAACCACAAUUUCUUUUUAGCGGCUACGUAUUGUUUGCUCUAUCUUCUUGUGCGAAUAAUAACAUAUUGUCUUGAAUACAAGUUUAAUUUGAUGGU
rnacentral:lncRNA from 1 species